UACGAAGGGGGCUAGCGUUGCUCGGAAUCACUGGGCGUAAAGCGCACGUAGGCGGUCUUUAAGUUCAGAGGUGAAAUCCUAGGGGCUCGAACCCCAGAACCUGCCUUUGACUACUGAGGAGCUUGAGUCCGGGAGAGGGUGAGUGGAACUGGCGAAGUGUAGAGGUGAAAUUCGAUUAGAUAUUCGCAAGAACACCAGUGGCGAAGGCGGCUCACUGGCCCGGUACUGACGCUGAGGUGCGAAAGCGUGGGGAGCAAACAGGG
rnacentral:rRNA from 1 species